rnacentral:rRNA from 1 species
GACGAACGCUGGCGGCGUGCUUAACACAUGCAAGUCGAACGGUAAGGCCCCUUCGGGGGUACACGAGUGGCGAACGGGUGAGUAACACGUGGGUAAUCUGCCCUGCACUUCGGGAUAAGCCUGGGAAACCGGGUCUAAUACCGGAUAUGAACUCCUGCCGCAUGGUGGGGGUUGGAAAGUUUUUCGGUGCAGGAUGAGCCCGCGGCCUAUCAGCUUGUUGGUGGGGUAAUGGCCUACCAAGGCGACGACAGGUAGCCGGCCUGAGAGGGUGAUCGGCCACACUGGGACUGAGACACGGCCCAGACUCCUACGGGAGGCAGCAGUGGGGAAUAUUGCACAAUGGGCGGAAGCCUGAUGCAGCGACGCCGCGUGGGGGAUGACGGCCUUCGGGUUGUAAACCCCUUUCGCCCGGGACGAAGCGAGAGUGACGGUACCGGGAGAAGAAGCACCGGCCAACUACGUGCCAGCAGCCGCGGUAC